ensembl:lncRNA
CAGACCAACGGACUGGAUGAGAUGACCAAUCAGACACUGAAGAGGUCCAUUGGCAAGAUCCUUGAUGGACAACAGGAGAGGAUCCCAGGCUGCCUGGCCCACCAAGGAGACUGUGUCCAAUCUAUCCGAGUCAGCAGAUUCAGAGUUGGAGGAGGACCCACUAGAGGACUGUGAUGUUGUCAUCACUAGUGUCCAGCCAGGCCAGGCUUAUCCAGCUUCACUGAGCAAUAGGGUGGAGGACUUCAGGGCCAUGCUCAGCAACCCAAGUACUUGGUUGGAUGACCAUGCUAUGGACCAUGUUCAGGCCCUGCUUAAGGCUAAGUACCCCAAC